UCCCGUCCAAGGUGUCCUACCAACUGUGUAUAAGACUUAGAAACUGGAAAAGCUGCAAAGAUGAGACAGAUGUCAGUCCUAGUUGCAGUACUGUGUGUCACCCUGUGGUCAUCAGUGACUUCCGGCCAGUCGCCACCUGCUGCGUGCAGGGACAGUUCUGAAUGUAGCCUCAACCACUGCUGCUUGCUUGGUAGAUACCAUGGUUCAGAACCUGCGUGCAACGCAGCUCCAGGGGAGAACGGUGUCUGCCGACCAGGUCAACUACCUACAAACACUACAAUUUACGGAACAGACGGGAAGCCCAAAUACAAUGUGACCAACGUGUACAUUGACGUCUGUCCAUGCGGCCAGCAACUCUCAUGCGAUGCCAACAGCGGCGGAGUCUGCAAGAAGAGUACAUAAUUCAACCUUGACAAAGCGACAGCAGUCUUCAAUCCGAUGUCAAUGAAGAUGUUCCUACAGACGUCAAAUGGAUCAACAAUAGCUCACAAAGAUUUACUAUUAUUGUAACCGGUUUGUAACAAUGUCUGUGUGUUAUCUGAUAAUGUAUAUGAUAUUUCUUUCUCAUGUCUUAGUAGUUCUCUAAAGAGUUGCGUAGGUGGCAGCACUAAUGUUCGACUCUGUGUUCUCAUAAAGAUAAAGAUGUAUCUUGAUGUAUUAUUUUAAAAAAUUAAAGGGCAAUGGAUGUUAAAGGGUAAAGAUAAUAAAUUAGUCAUCAUUUCCUUUCACUGAUAUGUGCUAUUCUGCAGCGCGAUAAUUCUUCAGUUUAUCGCGUAAAGUGUAAGAAAAACAUAAAAUAAUAAAGGCUUGUGUUUGUAAAUCUA